UACGGGGGGGGUAAGCGUUGUUCGGAAUUACUGGGCGUAAAGCGCGCGUAGGCGGACCUGCAAGUCGGGGGUGAAAGCCCGAGGCUCAACCUCGGAACUGCCUUCGAUACUGCGGGUCUCGAGUCCGGGAGAGGUGAGUGGAAUUCCUAGUGUAGAGGUGAAAUUCGUAGAUAUUAGGAAGAACACCAGUGGCGAAGGCGG
rnacentral:rRNA from 1 species